UACGGAGGGAGCUAGCGUUAUUCGGAAUUACUGGGCGUAAAGCGCACGUAGGCGGCUUUGUAAGUAAGAGGUGAAAGCCUGGUGCUCAACACCAGAACUGCCUUUUAGACUGCAUCGCUUGAAUCCAGGAGAGGUGAGUGGAAUUCCGAGUGUAGAGGUGAAAUUCGUAGAUAUUCGGAAGAACACCAGUGGCGAAGGCGGCUCACUGGACUGGUGUUGACGCUGAGGUGCGAAAGCGUGGGGAGCAAACAGG
rnacentral:rRNA from 1 species